UCACCCUCCAUGGGCAAAGAGACACCUCUUUGGUGGUGCCGUUCUUGUAUCAGUCAGGGUCAAAACAGUCAGCAGUUUUUUAUAAAUCUAGAUUGAUGCCUGACUUGGUGGUCAAAGCUGUUUUAUACUUAUGACUCAUAA